GAUGAACGCUGGCGGCGUGCCUAAUACAUGCAAGUCGAGCGAACGGACGAGAAGCUGGCUUCUCUGAUUUUAGCGGCGGACGGGGGAGUAACACGGGGAUAACCUACCUAUAAGACUGGGAUAACUUCGGGAAACCGGGGCUAAUACCGGAAAAUAUUUUAAACCGCAUGGUUCAAAAGGGAAAGAGGGUCUUGCUGUCACUUAUAAAUGGAUCCGCGCUGCAUUAGCUAGUUGGUAAGGUAACGGCUUACCAAGGCAACGAUGCAUAGCCGACCUGAGAGGGUGAUCGGCCACACUGGAACUGAGACACGGUCCAGACUCCUACGGGAGGCAGCAGUAGGGAAUCUUCCGCAAUGGGCGAAAGCCUGACGGAGCAACGCCGCGUGAGUGAUGAAGGUCUUCGGAUCGUAAAACUCUGUUAUUAGGGAAGAACAUAUGUGUAAGUAACUGUGCACAUCUUGACGGUACCUAAUCAGAAAGCCACGGCUAACUACGUG
rnacentral:rRNA from 1 species